AUCACCUGGGGAUGUUGUUAAAAUGCAUAUUCUGAUUUAGUUGGCCUGGGAUAAGGCCUGAAAUUCUGCAUUUCAAACAAGUUCUCAGGUGAUGCAGA
rnacentral:pre_miRNA from 1 species